AACGUAGGUUCCGAGCGUUGUCCGGAUUUAUUGGGCGUAAAGAGCGUGUAGGCGGCCAGGUAGGUCUGCUGUGAAAACUCGAGGCUUAACCUCGAGCUGUCGGCGGAAACCAUCUGGCUAGAGUCCGGAAGAGGAGAAUGGAAUUCCCGGUGUAGCGGUGAAAUGCGCAGAUAUCGGGAAGAACACCCGUGGCGAAGGCGGUUCUCUGGGACGGUACUGACGCUGAGACGCGAAAGCGUGGGGAGCGAACAGG
rnacentral:rRNA from 1 species